GAAAGAUUCCCCUCAUGCAGAUUUUGCAUCAGGUUCAACUGGUCAUGCAAAUUCACAAUGAUGACAAGCAGAAACCUGUUUGUUUUGAAAGUGACUUCUGAGUGAGUUGUGCUUCAUACAUCUCUACACUAUCGAUCGUUUAUCUUCAGAUUUUCAUUAAAGUAAUUCUUAUUUUUAACAGCAAUCCACACAAAUUCAUUACUAGAUUAUUGACUUUUUUUUUUUCCUCGAGGAAUUUCACUAAUGCGACCAAACCUUAGCUAUAACUGGCUUAAGAAAUGAGAACGCAGAGUUUUGAGGUCGCAGCGGCCAUGGAGCUCGUUCAAAUACUGAGGUGCUAAACCACUCAGGGCUUUACAUCUUGGUUUGGUGUAUGAGGCCUUACAACGAAUACAGGCAAUUCACCCCCAAUCCAGAAGGGGGCACCCGCAGCAAUGCAACGCUGAUUGAUAAACGGCCGCCAGCAGAAGAACAGCGAAUGCCGAUGUUAAUUGGAUGACUGAAGAAGUGUGGAUUACUUGUGGAUUAUCGUGAUGUUUUUAUCAGCUGUUUGGACUCUCAUUCUGACGGCACCCAUUCACUGCAGAGGAUCCAUUGUUGAGCAAGAGAUGUACAUUCUGAUGGCACCCAUUCACUGCAGAGGAUCCAUUGUUGAGCAAGAGAUGUGAUGUUAUAUUUCUCCAAAUCUGAUGAAGAAACAAACUCAUCUCCAUCUUGGAUGGCAUGAGGAAUGGCAGCACAGCUGAAAGCUGCAGGUGGAUGGCUCUAGGUUGCCAUUUUGAAGGCAACAUGACAAGCUGUCACAGCACAAUGGCAGACGUGUUUCAAGACCACAGUGGACCAGUAAGCCGAGUAUUGAUAUUCAGCACUCUCAGCCAUUCCUGCAAGAUCAGAUAUAGCUCCAAAGCAAACUGACGUGAAAAAGACGGGGAUGCUUGUCUCAAGUUCUAAGGAAAUAAUGGAGCAAAGCAAUGGAGGGUUGCAUAAACAAACCUGCAGUAAAUGGAUGUAUCCACUAACACUGUGUGGGUAUUUCACUGGAAAGAACUAAUAAGCAAGGACAUUACAAACAAAGGAAAACAAAGGCCAAGAUCUGCUCAGGUUUCAGAGCUCUCACUGGGAAUGUUCUUCAGAGAACAGGUGCUCAAAGGAAGCUUUAAUCUUCUAUCAAACUAUUCCAAAACCUGACUCAAUGGGAGCCGUUAAAAUAAUGUUACAGUGAUGUAAGCGGUUUACUCUGUAUGCCAGAUCAGCAUUCAUAAUAGGCUCUGAGACAUGGGACAAAAAAACUUAAAAUGACAACAAAUGUCCACUUUGAAAUGAAUCAGAGAUGAUCACUUCAAUGUUCUUAUUACAAAUUGUGUUCUUAUUUUUAUCAGAAUUAUAAAAGUUGCAUGUAUCAGUGACUAUAGACGAUAACGGUAUUGUUUGAAAACGUUUUGUUUUAGUUGAAACCGUGUGUUAUUUUAUUCAAAUUUAUGAUUUCUGACACACAUAUUUAAAUUCUAAGAUGAAUGACAUAGCUAUUUAUUCAUUUAUUUAUUUUUAUGAACUUACAAAGGAACAAAAAUGUGUUUGUCACUCAGAUGCCAGAUGUCUGCCACUGUAUACGUUUUUAUUUUAAUUUUUUGGAAGAUUGCAUAAUUUGGAUUUAUUGAGUUGUCUGACACCAUUAGGUCACAUUUCCAGCCACAUCAAAGACAGAGAAAAAAACUAUAUUUUUUCUAUAUACCUUAUAUAUCUUGGCCAGUUUUUAUAGUAAUACUUCAUGUCAGUAAUUCAUUUCCUCUUUCAUAUUUUCAUUUUGACAUAACACAAUCAUGUCCUUCUGUGGCACUGCUAUCCUAAUACCCCAGUUCCUGUGAAAUGAGAUUUCUUUCCAGAUGUGGUUUUAAUCGGGUUUAUGUUUCAGCGCGUAACUUUUCUAUAAGCUCUUAUUAAACUAGAGCAUGUUUUCAGAAUUUACCUGUUCAGCCUGACUUAACGGCGUGAAAAACCUAAGGUUUCAAAACAAAAGGUUGGCAUGAACCCAUAUGAACCACAACAACAUUUGAUCGUGUUGAUUUUUAGGGAGGACCUGCUAAUAAAGCAUAAAACCUGCUUGUGCA
ensembl:lncRNA